rnacentral:tRNA from 1 species
GCUCUGGUGGUGGAAUGGUGGACACGAGGGACUUAAAAUCCCUUGGGCAGGAAUGCCUGUACGAGUUCGAGUCUCGUCCGGAGCA